GGAAGUAAAAUCGUAACAAGGUUUCCGUAGGUGAACCUGCGGAAGGAUCAUUAUUGUAUAACCGAGGUGCGAGGGCUGUCGCUGACCCGAAAGGUCGUGCACGCCCGAGUGCCCUCACACACAUCCAUCUCACCCCUAUGUGCACCACCGCGUGGGUCCCCCUUUGGCUUGUUCGGAGGGGGGCUUACGUUUUCACACAAACUUUGUAUGCAGUGUAGAAUGUAUUUUUUGUUUUUGCGAUCACGCAAUCAAUACAACUCUCAACAACGGAUCUCUUGGCUCUC
rnacentral:misc_RNA from 1 species